UUGGUCUUAAUUUAAGUCUACAUAUGAUAAAUGUCUGCUGUAAAAGUUAGCAAAAUAAAAAUGACUACAACUAAUGUAAACUAAAAACUUUGUGUUUCUCUUUAAUUAAUUCCUUAUUCAAAUUAAAGCUGCACUGCUUAGUAGAUUGAAUGUCAAAAUGCUCAUUUAGUGAUUAAAUAGGCUUCCCGUUGUUUUCAUUAACUAAUGAAUUAUUUAUUCCAUCUGUCAUCAAACUAACGGUCACGGCACAUUUUAAAAUUUGUAAUCUGGCCUACCCAGAUAUGAAUCAUAUCUCAGGUCAUUGCACAUGAAUGUAGGUAUGUUCAGGCCUAUACUUUAGUGGCACAAUUUACUGUCUUUGAGUCCAGUGUUUUGUAUUUGCAAUGCACAACUUUACUGUUUCACUUUUCUCCUGCUGCUCUUUAGCUGUUUCCCCCAUGAGCUGGUGAAGACCAAAAAUGGAGCAAAAACUUUGAUUUAUCAGGUAGUCACAGUAUUAGCUCCUCAUGCUAGUAAUAUUUAUUAAAAGAAUCACAUAUUUAACUAAAAACAACCUUUUAAAUUGUACCCUUUUGAUCAGUUAAAAUUCAAGUCAGACUACACAGCAAUAAUAUGACCCACGAUUAACCAGCAUACUUUUAAUUAUCUUUUAUUGUCUUGUCCUGUAGCCUGGAUUUGCUCACUAUCAUUAAAGUGACCCUCUCAAGUUUAAAGUUUAGAUAUGAGUGGCUGUUUUUUUUCAUUCUUUUAUCUCUUCAUAGCGUCAGGUUUUUCCAGUCUGAGUAUUAUUUAUGGGUUCAGUUCAUUUAUAAGACGCCGUCACAUCCUGGCUUUCACCUGCCCAGAGGCUGAGACUGGCCAGCGAUGGCACUCUUCAGACACUUUAAUUGGUCCCAGUGUGCCAAAAUAGAUGCAGUAAGUCAGCGAUUCGACCCACAUCUGCUCUGCAGCUUUCAGGACAAUGCGGCCGAGAUCAGCUCUGUCUCGCCGACUGACAGAGCUGAUCUCUGCAUACUUCAGGAUGCAGCUUGUAACUGGAAUGUAUGAUUGUAGGAUAUUCAGGGGAAAUGUGUUUGCAUUGCUGCAGCUUGUGAACCCUUUAGAGCAUUUAUCUGUACCAGCCGAUAUGUUUUCAUAAGCUUUAUAGUGACGGUAGAGUGUUUGAUGAAUAAUGUGAGGUGUUAAGAUGCAAAGAGUUUAGGCUAUUAAAGAUGGGAUGUCUGCAUUCAUUGUGGCUUAUGCAUCCUAGAAACAACGGAACAAUACACAAUGCAGUGUGUGUCCCUCUUGUUUCAGGCAUUCUUGUGUCAAAUAUAAAGAUCCCAGUGUGAUGAUUUCUGUUAGCUGAUUAACUGUUGUUUCUAGUCUUACCUUGCCAACAGUCCAGAACCCAAAGAUAAUUUGCUUACAAACAUAUUUUUAAAAUAGAUAGCAAAUUUACCAUUAAAAAGGCAAAUAUUUGGCAUUCAUGCUUAAUAAAUGGCUAAAAUAAUAAAAAUACAUGCUGACUAAUUAAUCCACUGGAUCAUCAGUUAAUCAACUUCGUGAUUUUAUCUAACUUUAUGCACUUUUCAUAGAGCUUCCUAUAAGAAAGUUGUUUUGAUGUUUGAUAUGCCCACUGUUAAUUAUAUAAUUGUAUUAUUAUGAAGAGUCUUAUUUCCCAGUUACUAACUCCAUGGCUUCCAUGGUAUUUUGGUUAUAUUGAGAAUAAACGGGUAGUAAACGGGACCUACUUUGCUUUUUUCUUAUUUAGUUUUAAAUAUAUAUAGCCCCUUUUCCAUUAGUACCUACUCGUGUCGUCUCGCUACAAUUUACUGGGUUUUACAUUAGGUGGUAGUACCUGGUACCAGGUACCUACUCGCUCAGGAUUCCAAGCGAUCCUGGGCGAUCUAAAAAUGUGACAUCAACAGACUGCAUGCCACCGAUUGGCUCGUCAGUGGCGUCAGUCAUUAGAGCAUCUCCCUCAGGAAAAUCAAAACUGCCACUUUUAAAACCCGGCAACGAGGAAAAUGGCUUCAAAAAGCAACGCUGUGGUCCCAGAGUCUGGAAAAAAGCCACAGACAAAGCAGGAGGUAUAUCAUUGCCUCGAUGUCCACCUUUGUGGUUCUUAUCCUGUGAAGAUUGCUAUAUAAAUAAAUAAAGUAGGUGGUACUCGAUUGUAAUGGGGAAAAAAAUGAUUUGAGGCAAGUCGUGCUGUGUUGAGCCGAGAUGAACCGAAUAGGUACUAAUGGAAAAAGGGCUUAUGUGACAGGAAAUUCAUAUUAAAUGGAAUUCUUAUUAAAAACUUUCACACAGGAGAGAACAGUUGCCUGGUAACCACAGUUCACUAGGGAAAAAUUAGGGUUCCCCAACUAAUUGCGAGUGCUUGUCGGCAGUGGAAAUUGAUUGCUAACCCUGUUCAUGCAGUCAUACUGAUGGCCAGUUACCCCCUAAUUGGAAGGGGAAAGGGUGUAAUCUGUAACCAGUUGGUGAUUGGUUGCUGGGGGUUGCUUCUUGUUGCUAGGUUGUAAAGUAUAUGGGGCUCUACCGAAAACCUCCUUGUCAUUGCUUUGUAUCUGAGCAGAUUGCAACAUUUCAUGUUUCAUUGAAACCAGAAACCAGAAAAAUUUUCCUUCAAAGUAAAAGUUGUUGGUUUCAGUUUUAAAACUAAAGUUGCACUAGGGAUAAGGUUACAGAGUGCAGCACAACCAAAAUUAUGACAACUGUGGGCAUUGAACUUGCAGUGGCUAGUUGAAGACUGGGAAGCUACAUCCAGAUGAACAGAGUCAACUGUCUGGGCUUAUCUUACCUGGAUGACUGAAUGUGGAAGGACAGACCAAAGCAAUCGCAGAGAGGAUUUUGUUGCAGCGCCCUCUCUGCAACCGACUUCACGCAAUGAUAGCCAGCAACCUCAUCAAAUAUGUCAAGAAAUAGAUGAUUUCCCCUUGAAACCUGUCAGGGGUUGCUGACCAGUCUCUAGGCCUGUGUGACUGUGGCCUUAAAGAGAAAAUUAGGAACAGAAGAUGAACUGAGGGUUGCAUGAGGCACCUCUGUAAAAUAUUAAGUAUAUCUGAACUGUGAGCCAUCCAUAGCUACUGUAAUACGGUGCCCCAAUAAAAUCAUAGAGCUGGAAACAAGCAUAGUAGGUCCUCUUUAACAAUGUAUGUGGAAAGUGUGUUAGAAACCAGAAGCACUUAGAUUGUUUUACAUAUUGGAAAUCUGUAAUGUAAAAAUCAAUAUCUUUGCUUGUAAAACUAACCAUCAGCAUCGGUCGCCUCCCUAGAGUUCAGAGGCUCUGCCUCAUUAAGAUCGACCCAGUAUGGAAAUGGAUCAGACUGAAAUAGCUUCCUCUGGGGAGCUUACCCGUGCUGAUGACCUCUAAACAGUCACAUACUACAGUAAAAUGAUCCUUCCUGUAUGCUUUCUUUUGGAUCCUGAAAAUAUUGAACAUCUUUCAGACUGCUUUGAGAAAUGUUUUGUGUCACAGGAAAUGCAGUAUAUGUGCAGUAAUUUCAGUAAAAUAUCAGUCUUGUGCUUUAUAUUAAAAGAAUAGUAUUAAAUGUGGGGAUUUACUUCCUGGAAGGUUAGUGAGAUGAUUGGUACCAUUUUUAAUAAAGCAGCUAGUUAGCUUAAUUUAGCUAAUCUUAUAAAACUAAAAGUUGUUUUUAUUCUUUAAAUAUUUAACAAUCUUACAUUGUUAAUGUAAUUACAGUUGGGAUGCUGUGUAAAAUGUGAAUAUAGACAAAUUACAAUGAUUUGUAAAUCUCACACUGAUAUUUUAUUCACAGUACAACAGAGAAAACAUACAAAGUUUAAACUGAGAAAUGUUUGAGAAAAAUAUUCGCUUAAAUUGAAUUUGAUGGCAGCAACAUGACACAGUGCAGUGUUUACUCUGUGCAGCAUCCCCUCUGCUUUAGCAGCCUAUAAAUAUCUACGAACUGAGGAGACUAACUGUUAGACUUUUGGGAGAGUUCAUAUUUACUUCUGAGAAACAAUGCCCGUCUAUAAUGGUACAUUUUUGUCAGUUUAAACAUAUUUUUCAUAUGUAAAGAAAAUGGGAGUUUAUGAAAUUCGUGUUUUCAAACCUCGUUUUGAAGGACUUGCACGGGUUUUGUGGCUCUCUUGUUGUUUAAGUUAGCAAACAGCAGAAAAUCAUGGUUCCAGAGUUUCUGUUCUUCUUCACCUCCAAAGGCUUUUAAUCUCGCAGAGUAUCGCAAACCCCAGAAAACCUCCCCUUUUCCUGCUCAAAUAAAUGCUUCCUGCAUCCACCUGCAGAAUGUAAACCGUGUGAUAUUUAAUAGUCUUUAAAGUUGUGCACUCUCAUCUUAUUCUCACCUGCUUUAACGGUGUCAGGUUCUACCUGGUUAUCCUUGAAUAGCUGUGCUCUGAAUAAACAGACAAAUGAGAUUAUCCAGCUGGUAGCAGACAAUUUGGAGGUCGUUUAUCUAUUUAUUCAUGUGUUUGUCAGUCCAUGUGUCAUAAUGUGUAUUUGUUGUGUCUAUGAAUGGAUUUUUUUUUUUUUUUUUUUUUUAAAUUCGGCAGUAGUUAUGCUGUUUAUCAGUUUAAGAAACAUGUUUUGAGCUGCUGCCUUAGUUGUGACUGGCAGUGAGAGUACACUGGCUUGUGACCCCCCUGAGGAUGAGUGUCUCUCCUCCUGGUCUCAAAUCAGAGAUCUUUAAGGCACGGGGGAACUCUAGGCCUCAACGGCCAGUGUCCUUGAUCCAACACAGCUGAUUCAAAUGGCUAAAUGACCUCAACAUGUCUUGAUGUUCUCUAGAUGAACUAAUCAUUUGAUUCAGAUGUGUUGACCUAGGGUGAUAUCUAAAACCAGCAAGACACCGGCCCUUGAGGCCUGGAGUUCCCCCAUGCCUGCUUUAAAGUAUGACUGCUUCGCCUUAGGCUUUGAGCCUUUCUAGAGUCAAUUUGAAAGCGUGUAAACUUACUGACCUCUGCUGGUCAUAAGCAGGAAUUGCUAUUGUGAAACAAUCCAUAGGCUUUUUUUAUUUAUUUUUUUAAAUAAUAAAACAAUACAUUUUUUAAACCCUUGAACCCUAAUGUGCUGUUUUGUCACUAACAUUGGGUCUAUUUUACUUGAUAUACUGUUAAAACAUACUUAACAUCAACAGUACUCUUCUUUCUCUACGUAACCUCUGUGCAAAGUCUCAAAACAAAAUAAAGGCAUCAUGGCGGGACCCUCCAGGCUCUAAUGCAACGCAAUGAAAAUCACGUAGCUAAUAUCGCGUUGGUGAAAAUUACCCAACGUUAGUGUUCUCGGUUUGAGACAGAUGCUUUUUUUUUUUUUUAAUUAAAGUUUCAGUCUUAUUUUCUGUCAUUUGUACUAACAUUACGUUUAGUGAUCUGACUGCCUGUCUGCAUGGUAGAUUAGAUUGAUAUGAAGAUUAGAUAUAAAACAUGAAGAACGUGUUUUCAUCCAUUGGCUCCAACCUGCAUUCUUUCUACUCCUGUGCCUAUAGAAAUCAGUCAUUCUACAGACGUCUGGGACAAAAAUGUCCCUGCUUCUCAUUCGAUCUCCUGCUUCAUAAUCACAAAAUUAUCAGGAAUGAGUUCACUGGUCUGUAGUUUUGAGUCUUACUGAAUAUAAUGUGAUUUUAAAUUUUUUUUUUUAAAUUUUGGUUCCAUUUGAAGUGAAACCGACCACACAGUGAGCACUUCUCAGUCAUGUUCAACCCUUACUGGACAGCUCUGGUUUUUUUAAAAAAAAAAAAAAAAAA